UACAGAGACUGCAAGCGUUAUUCGGAUUCACUGGGCGUAAAGGGUGCGCAGGCGGUCGGGUGUGUCAGAUGUGAAAUCCCGAGGCUCAACCUCGGAACUGCGUCUGAAACUACUCGACUAGAGUACUGGAGAGGGUAACGGAAUUCACGGUGUAGCAGUGAAAUGCGUAGAUAUCGUGAGGAACACCAGAGGCGAAGGCGACGACCUGGAUAGCAACUGACACUCAACUACGAAAGCGUGGGUAGCAAACAGG
rnacentral:rRNA from 1 species